ensembl:rRNA 5S_rRNA 5S ribosomal RNA
ACCAGCAGCCAUAUCACCCUGUAGCUCACAACUGGCAGCCCCUUGAAGCUAAGCAGGUGUGAGCCUGGUCAGUACCUGGAUGGGAGACCUCCUGGGAAAAACUAAGGUUGCUGCUGGUA